UGUGUACUAGUAUUAUUGUUAUAUUCCUUUAUCAUCUUGUGGCUAAUUUUCACCGUUAUUAUUUGUAAGUAUAUUCUCACCCCUUCUUUAUUUUGUUGGAUUGCCUUUUUGCAAUGUUGUACAUGUAAUCAGCAAGAGUGAUAGAUUGUGAUGAUUGUGAGAUGGUUGUGACACCCUCUUAGCAUUUACUAUCUUUUUUUCAUUUAGUCGAAUA
rnacentral:lncRNA from 1 species